AUUGAACGCUGGCGGCAGGCCUAACACAUGCACGUCGAGCGAGCGGCGGACGGGUGAGUAAUGUAUGGGGACUGCCCGAUAGAGGGGGAUAACUACUGGAAACGGUGGCUAAUACCGCAUACUAUCGGAUAACCCAUAUGGGAUUAGCUAGUAGGUGGGGUAAAGGCUCACCUAGGCGACGAUCUCUAGCUGGUCUGAGAGGAUGAUAAGCCACACUGGAACUGAGACACGGGCCAGACUCCUACGGAGGCAGCAGUGGGGAAUAUGGCACAAUGGGCGCAAGCCUGAUGCAGCCAUGCCGAGGGUGUGAAGAAGGCCUUCGGGUUGUAAAGCACUUUCAGCGAGGAGGCGUUACUCGCAGAAGAAGCACCGGCUAACGCCGUGCCAGCAGCCGCGGUAAUAC
rnacentral:rRNA from 1 species